UGGGGAAUUUUGGACAAUGGGGGCAACCCUGAUCCAGCCAUUCCGCGUGAGUGAUGAAGGCUUUCGGGUCGUAAAGCUCUGUCGAGGGGAAAGAAGUGUACUUUGGUUAAUACCCAUUGUACUUGACGGUACCCCUAAAGGAAGCACCGGCUAACUCCGUGCCAGCAGCCGCGGUAAUACGGGGGGUGCAAGCGUUGUUCGGAAUUAUUGGGCGUAAAGCGCGUGUAGGCGGUUUGUUAAGUCUGAUGUGAAAGCCCUGGGCUCAACCCAGGAAGUGCAUUGGAAACUGUCAGACUUGAAUACGGGAGAGGGUAGUGGAAUUCCUGGUGUAGGAGUGAAAUCCGUAGAUAUCAGGAGGAACACCGGUGGCGAAGGCGGCUACCUGGACCGAUAUUGACGCUGAGACGCGAAAGCGUGGGUAGCAAACAGG
rnacentral:rRNA from 1 species